CCAAGGAGAUUACAUGGUAUUUUCAAUUACCUAUGUUAUAUCAAAGAAGGUAUGAAUAGUAAAUGUACGACUGAUGAGCUGUCACAUGUUCUUUUAAACUAUUUUUACAUUUUUUAGAAUAAUGCAAAGACGAUGUAGGUUACUCUUGGUGACAUGCAUCAACCAUAUAUUUGUCCCACCACAAGACGGCCAAAGAAGAAGGAAGCUCAUAGGUUGGUGUGUCAUCCACUUCAUAUGGUUGGAGGGAUAAAUAACGGAUUUGGAACAAGAUAAGAGAAAUAUGCUAUGAUGGAGAAAAUUGAAGGAAAUGUGGGGUUACACAUUGUGUUGAAUGAGUGAAGAUACAAGUUUAUGUUUCUAUAGUUCAAAUAUUUAUUGGUUUGCUUUUUGGAUAAUUUGGUUGUUUCAUGUAUUACGUUUGUACAAGUUGAUAUUU